GGAGGAGUCGCAUAGUGGCCUAGUGCGCGCGCUUGGAGAGCGCGUAUGACCGAAAGGUUAUCGGGAGUUCAAAUCUCCCCUCCUCCG
rnacentral:tRNA from 1 species